CUCAUCUUUCUUUUUCUCUUGCCCUUUUCUUCUUCUCUGGUAAUUAAAUGGAAAACACUGGAAGAACCUGAUGAAAAGUGUACAUGAGCGGGGUUCAUAAGAAAUGAAUACCUUAAAUUGCUGUUGAUGUUAGCAUUGGCUGGUUCAUAAAUGGAGUUGGAAAGGUAUAAGAGGAGCUCAAAUAAAUCAGAAGAAAUACACCUCUCUAUGCAACAAACCGACACAUCAAGUGUUUGGUAAAAUGCAUGAAAGAAGAAAAAAGGGGGCAACAGAUUUGAUUGCAUUCUCUUAACAUUUUAGUAAUGGUAUGAGUGAUUUUGAUUUGUUGUAUGGUUGCCUGGAUUUGUAAUUGUGUUUCUUUCCACCAUUGAAGGUAAUUUGUUAAUACAGAAGUGGGUGAAAUCUAACUUCCUAAAUAGUAAAUCCAUUGUAUAGCUAAGCAUCUUCGCAUAAGUUCUUCUAUGGAAAAUUUACCUAGCAUCUUGAAAUGAUCAGUAAAAUAAAUAAAUGGA